rnacentral:misc_RNA from 1 species
CGUAUUACCUUUUUAUAGUCUGCUAAUGAACCCACCUAUGAUAAAAACAAAUUCAGCCCAAUUUGUUCUAAUUCUUGGGGCAGUUUUGCCCUUUUUUAUCCACCAGGCCCCAUUUGUCACACUUUGGCAAACUUAUGAUUUAAGGUCCAAUCUUAGAAUAUUAUUUUGUAGCUAACAAGGGCAGAUAAAAAUAUUAUUUAACAGUAUUGCCUGAACUCAAUUUAAAAACCGUGAUAAUGAAUGCAAUUUAACAGGAAAUGCUAUUACCAGUAGCAAAAAGCACAACAUCUGCCA